GCUGAAAGAGAGGGAGAAAGAGAAGGAACGAGUUAGAGCUGAAUGAGCAAAAGGUGUUUAGUAUGCAGACGGGCUAGGCCUCGAGCUAACUCAACUGAGAAAUCGUGUAAGCGACGCGUAUGUCAAUUAAAAGCCUAUAACAAACUACGACAACUGCAUAGAGUGCUCUAGACGGCAGUGCUCGACUAUCAGAUACCCUGUCAUUGCAAAAAUUAUCGCUUUCCUCUAUGCACACAUCCAGAAGCAGGCCUUAAAAUGUGGUGCUUCUGAAUGCAUUCUUUAUGAACUACAGCGCUUAUUGUUUGAUUAAUAUCCAUUAAGUGAAACUUUCUUAAUCUGACUAAACUAACCCUUUGCAAUGGGCACAGGGUAUAACGACACGGGAAUAUAGGCAUAAGGCAAAGGCGGCAAACAACUUUUGGCUUCCAGUUACACACACAAAUCGUUGCACGCAAAUGCAAAACAAUGCCGGCGACAUGCCCCCCGCCUCGGGCGUGUCAAAAGGGGCCGGAAAAAGGGCGUGAAGAGAGGAGAGCGGGCGGGGGCAAAUGCGACGAAUGAAGCAAUUUUGGUCACACAAGUCACGUGCAGCCAAAAGGCAGAAACGACAAAACACGCCGCGCAGCACAUGAACUGGCAACGCUUUAGAUUUCAGAAUCGAGAAUUGGGUGUUUGGAUAUUCGGAUUCCAUAUGCAGGGCACACACAAUGGAAACUGAGGCAAACGUUUCAAUAGAACUGCAUUUACUCGCACCUAUUUUGUGGUGCGUUUGCCAUGGGAAUGGAUAUUGACUGCGACAAAGUGAACAUGGAGACCGGGCAGACCUAAGUACACCGGAAUAUAUAUAUAUAUAAGGAUGAGAGAAUAAUAUAUAUAUAUAUACCCAGUAAAACACCAAACAAUUGGCAAUUGAUUUAGCCUCAUUAAGUGACCAUGGAGGUCAAGUAAAGCAGGACUCAAGCAAACAGGUUGACAGGCUAACAAUUCAGUCAUGAGAACAACAGUUUAAUCAAGUGACCAUGGAAGUUCUAAAAGUAUGUCUUACAGAAUAAUCAGUUAAAGUACCUAUAGUUGGGUGCAAUAAAGUGACCAUGGAGCUGAAGCACAAUUUUGAUGCAUAUAAAGAAAAUAUUUUACAAAAGUAUAAUAUAAUAUAAGUAUGACAACAGUUAACAUAUAUAUAGUUGGGUAAAACAAAGUGAACAUGGAGAUGCUGAGAACAAGUCAAUAAAGCGAGCUUCUUAUAAAAAGCCUGUAAAUUGUAAACAUA